GGUGAUGACGCUGGGAACGCGAGCGGCGGAUGGGUGAGUAACACGUGGGUAACCUGCCCUAAAGUCUGGGAUACCACUUGGAAACAGGUGCUAAUACCGGAUAACAACAAUAGCUGCAUGGCUAUUGCUUAAAAGGCGGCGAAAGCUGUCGCUAAAGGAUGGACCCGCGGUGCAUUAGCUAGUUGGUAAGGUAAUGGCUUACCAAGGCGACGAUGCAUAGCCGAGUUGAGAGACUGAUCGGCCACAUUGGGACUGAGACACGGCCCAAACUCAGAAGGGAGGCAGCAGUAGGGAAUCUUCCACAAUGGGCGAAAGCUGGAUGGAGCAACGCCGCGUGAGUAAGAAGGUUUUCGGAUCGUAAAGCUCUGUUGUUGGUGAAGAAGGAUAGAGGUAGUAACUGGCCCCUAUUUGACGGUAAUCAACCAGAAAGUCACGGCUAACUACGUGCCAGCAGCCGCGGUAAUACGUAGGUGGCAAGCGUUGUCCGGAUUUAUUGGGCGUAAAGCGAGCGCAGGCGGAAAGAUAAGUCUGAUGUGAAACCCCGGCUUAACCGAGGAAUUGCAUCGGAAACUGUGUUUCUUGAGUGCAGAAGAGGAGAGUGGAACUCCAUGUGUAGCGGUGGAAUGCGUAGAUAUAUGGAAGAACACCAGUGGCGAAAGCGGCUCUCUGGUCUGUGACUGACGCUGAGGCUCGAAAGCAUGGGUAGCGACAGGAUUAGAUACCUGGUAGUCAUGC
rnacentral:rRNA from 1 species